AUUGAACGCUGGCGGCAUGCUUUACACAUGCAAGUCGAGCGGCAGCGCGGGGGCAACCCUGGCGGCGAGCGGCGAACGGGUGAGUAAUGCAUCGGAACGUAUCCUCGAGUGGGGGAUAACCCAGCGAAAGUUGGGCUAAUACCGCAUGAGCUCUGAGGAGGAAAGCGGGGGACCUGCGGGGGCCUCGCGCUGGAGGAGCGGCCGAUGUCCGAUUAGCUAGUUGGUGGGGUAAAGGCUUACCAAGGCGACGAUCGGUAGCUGGUCUGAGAGGAUGAUCAGCCACACUGGGACUGAGACACGGCCCAGACUCCUACGGGAGGCAGCAGUGGGGAAUUUUGGACAAUGGGGGCAACCCUGAUCCAGCCAUGCCGCGUGAGUGAAGAAGGCCUUCGGGUUGUAAAGCUCUUUCGGACGGAACGAAAUGGGCGGGACUAAUACUCCUGUCUGAUGACGGUACCGUAAGAAGAAGCACCGGCUAACUACGUG
rnacentral:rRNA from 1 species